GGACUUGGGGGAAGAGUGGGAAUUAGCCAAGUGAAGAGGGCGGGGAGGUGAAGGAAAAACCAAUCCAUGGUCAGGAAACCAAAGAGCUUCUGGUCUAGGGAAAGAGCUGGACAAAGAGAAAAAUGUGAUUGCAAUAAUGUGUAAGUACUAGGAUUGGGGAAAAGAAUGGGUGCUUCAGGGAGCUUAAAUUUCUUUAGAGACAAACAAAUAAAUAGAUUCCAGCUAGCUCGAGAUGAAGGACACCAUGUUUGUUUAUGAUGUCAAUGUGAAACCUGAACAACCAGGGCUUCUCCGGGGUUACCACUAGUAGGUCCUCCUGGAUCUUGUCUCCACGACAAUGUAUGCCAUGAACUCCAACUGCCUGAUCUCUGUGUGACUGUGCUCAUGUCUUCAACUUCCUAGGAUGAAGGACCUGACUGGCCUAGAUUGGGUCAAGUGUCUCUACUUUUGGACGAAUCAGGCAUAGACAGGGAACAGGAGGAAAUGUGAAGCAAUUGCUGGUAAUUACUGGAGUGGAAAGAGCCCAGGCCCAGGAGACAGAACGUUUGAAGUCUAGGCUUGCCUCUGCCGCUGUCUCUCCAGCACCCCUUUCUCCUUUGGUUAACAGAAUCCCUCUUGCCUGUGGGGAACUCGCUCUUAGAACGAUGGAACUAUUUCACAGUCAUUGUCGGUAAGGGUGCUGAUUACUGUCUGUCUAGUCAAGUGUAGAGAUGAAGAGACAGAGUCCUGGCGGUGUUUGAACACCUGGAUCCCACUGCAUUGGAUUCUGCACGUUUCAGUUAUAUGAACCAACAAGCAACAGAUUGUUUGCAAAGAUGACUCCAGUAACUUCACCCAUCUCUGUGUGCAUGCUCGUUUGCCACGGGACUCCUCCCAUAGACAGGUAGCAUCUAGUUCCCCUCGCCUUGAAUCUGGGGGUGCUCUUUGACUUGAUUUGACCAAUAGAAUGUGGCAGAACGGACACAUGUGGCUUCUAAGCUUUCCUUUCGAGAAGACCUGCAGUUUCAGUCUUCAUGCUCUGGGAACCCUAAGACUACCAGGCUGGGAAGAGGCCUGGUCUAGUCCCUUGAGAUUGGAAGGACACAUGGAGAGAGGGGCCCGGCAAAAUCACCAGCUCAAUGAAGCCACAGUGAACCCAGGCAAGACCAGAACUAGCCAGCCAACUCACAGAAUUACGAGAGAUGAUAAAUUGCUAUUACUUGAGUCACUAGUUUUGGGGUGGUUUGUUAUGCAGAAAUAGAUAAUUGAUUCAUGAAAAGACAGUCACCAACUUACUUUGUGACCUUGUGUAUCAAUCAUAGUUCUUGAUGUCAAGCAAAAUAAAAUCAGCUUUUGCUUAUU